CGCGGGGUGGAGCAGUGGUAGCUCGUCAGGCUCAUAACCUGAAGGUCGUAAGUUCAAAUCUUGCCCCCGCCACCA
rnacentral:tRNA from 1 species